rnacentral:rRNA from 1 species
UACGUAGGGGGCUAGCGUUGUCCGGAAUCAUUGGGCGUAAAGCGCGUGUAGGCGGCCCGGUAAGUCCGCUGUGAAAGUCGGGGGCUCAACCCUCGGAUGCCGGUGGAUACUGUCGGGCUAGAGUACGGAAGAGGCGAGUGGAAUUCCUGGUGUAGCGGUGAAAUGCGCAGAUAUCAGGAGGAACACCAAUUGCGAAGGCAGCUCGCUGGGACGUGACUGACGCUGAGACGCGAAAGCGUGGGGAGCAAACAGG